CUAAGCCCUUGCUACUUUCUUAAACACUCACCUCCCUUCCCACCCUCUUUCACCAAUUUACCUGAUACCAUGUCUGACACGUAACCCAAAAGUUGAUUUUCAGUCAAAAAUUGCCUACCUUUUACUUCUUAUGCACCUUCAACAAACUCUCAACCUCAGCCCUCCCUUCGAAAUAUCAUUUGGAACAACCUCAUCCCCACAGAACUACAAUAGCAUCCUAGCCCAAACCACCUUCAUAUGCGGUUCCUCAGGAGCUGUUUGGGCUCUCAUCCUUCCUCUACACUGGCCUUGGUGCUCUUACGUUCCUAUUGUAUUUUUCGAUGAUAAUUUAUUUACUUUUUUCUGUGUUUUCUGACUUCUCAUCCUUUCUCAUUGAUAUCACCUCUACUUAAUUGAUUCUUCUCUUAGUCGUUUUUCCAUCUUUUUGAAUGUUUUUGAUCCAUUUUGGUUCCUUAAUAAAAAUAAAUCUGAGUUUUUGAGAUUGUUUUUAAUAGAUUUCCUAAGAUUCUUAUGGAAUUAUUAAUAUUUGAUUUUUUUUUCCAAAUUUUGUUUGGUAUCAAUCAACUAUGUGUGGACUUGGAGAGCACUCUGGGUUGGAUUUGUUGUCGUUGUUGUUGCUUUGUUGUUUGGUUGUAUUUAUUUUACUUAUGUUAAGAAAGAAUUGGGCUUGUUUUGAUUCAUAUAAAAAUUUUGAUAGAAUCAUGGAUUUUAUAGUAAUCUGGGCACUGAAUUCAGCUCUUUUUUUUUGUACUUAGAAAAGGUAUUCAUUACGUGGGUUUUCCAAAAAUUGUUGAAAGAAAUACAGCAUUAUGUUAUUUGCUUUCUAAUUUUGGUUUUUUGUUAUAAUUGUGGUGUUUAAGUCAGCUAAAAGAAGCUCUGUCUCCAAUAGUAGACAGUAGAAUCCAGUGCAAUUAAGGAUUGAUCUUCUAACUGGGAAUUAUUGAAUUCCUGUUUGAUAUUGUCACAAGUAGCAUUCAUAAUUAGGAACUGAGUUUGCUUCAGAAAAAAAAACAACUGAGUUGGGGGCAUGAUUUGUAUGAACUUAGUUUCUUGUUGUAUCCUUCUAGUUGUUCAGAAAUGGAGUUAGUUGUCUAACUUGUCUAUACUUUCAAAUUGAAUUGCAGAGUAAAGUAAAGCUAGAGUUAUGUAACCUAGUGAACGUAGAAAGGCUAUGAAGGGUGUCGUCCGCAAAGACAGAGAGGUGAAAGUACAAAAUAGUUGUUAUGGACUUCGAUCACUUUAUCCAUGGACGGCAUGGGCGAACAAGCCUCGUACUAUGUGAUCACUCAUAUGCAGUUAGGGGUAUAUUCAUAAAGCGGCUAAGGGGAUGAUUUCAACAAUGCCCAUGAUCCACAUAUAUGGAUUCUCCAAUGCAUUAGAUCCCGAGAGGAUUAGGAUCGCGCUAAAGGAGGUUCUUGUUGAGGUAGACAUGCAUAUGGUCCGGCAUGGUACCGCAGGGAAAUUGAUGCUAUGUGCUUCAUUUGUUCUUCCAGAGAUAUAGCAUUUGCCAAUCAUAUUUAAUACAGUGCUGAUAUAUCACAUCUGAAGAGAAAAUUGGAUCUUGAUUUCUAACCCAAGAAAUAGUAACAGCCUAAAUUCAGUUCUUAAAGCCAUGAUGCUUAACCCUGGCUACUCAUCUAUGAUUUACGCAAUGAUUUUACUAGUUCUCUGGGGCACCAACAGAAAACAAUGAUGCACCCUGGAGCGGAGAAUGACUUCAGGGAGGUCGCAAAAAUAACAUUCUUUUUGUUCAUUUUUUUUUGUUACCCCAGAGAAAUCUGUAUACUAUAGCCUGCUAAAUAAUAAGAAGACUUGAAACUGAGUCAAUUCAAUUGGGGGAAAUCGUUGGUUUUCAGUAGGGUGUGGUUUUUUGUUUUGGUUGUUUGAUAACGAAAUCCAGUUUUGUUUCUUGUAGAAUCUGGGAUCUCUGAAACAGAAUCUGCUAAGAUUAGCUUCGGCUGUACAACAUAAUUAUAUGAGCAUUUUUUUCCUCUGUAGGGAUUUUUACUAAUGAAGAGUUGGUUUAUUAUGAUGCAUAUCUUCCUGCAGUCUCAUUAAGUUGUAUAUGGCCGUGAAUAUUUCUCUAACUGUUACAGAGGAAUUCAGCUGUCUUUUCCAUCUUCAUUUGUUUUUUUUGUUCUCUUUUUCAGUAGAGGUUUCUACAUCUCUUUUCUUGACCGAUCUAGUUCAGCAAAACUGAGUUCCUUUGCCGGUUCAGUUAAGUCCAGUAUUCAGUUUAAAAUUCAAAUAACCACGACUCAUUUUCUCCCCAGUUCAUUCCCACGUACUCAACGCCCGUAAAAAUCUGUGAAAAAAUCCCCCAUAAUAAUAGAAACUUUCACGAUAAAUAUGGUCAGGCAACAGCUCUUUAUUCUCAUUGAAACCCUGCAUAUCUUCAGAAAAAUACUUCUGUUUCCAUUCUUGCUAUCUUCAAAACAAAAACAAAUUCACUUGAGAAAAUCAUAUAUGAUGGGUGAAAGAGACCAAAUCAGUGAGUUACCAGAUCCGAUACUACAUCACAUCCUCUCUGAUUAUUCAACUAAAGUUGCUUUUCGUACUUCCAUUUUAUCAAAAAGGUGGAAUUACAUUUGGAAUCGUGUCCCGGUCCUGGAUUUUGAGAAUACGAUUUGUGGAUUACGCAAUGCUUCAAAGGUCAAGAAGUUUAUGAAAUCCGUGGAAAAGAUUUUGCGUGAUCGUAACCAGGAAGCGAAUAUAAAGAAAUUCACUUUCAAGUGUAGAUUAUACAUGAAACCAUCUCGUUUCAUUGAUUUGCAAGGGAUUGCCUCAAUGCUUGUUACAGCACCAUAGAACCACUGCUUGUUUGAUUAAAUGAUCUCAGCAUUUUGCUUUCUAGACUUCACUGCUUGUUACAGCUCUAAACAUCUUCUUAGUGAGUCCUUCAGUAGAGUAUGCAGUAUGUUGUUCAAUUUCUAUCUUAGAUUUCACUUUGUAAUAUUCUUAUGUGAAUGAAUAAAUAUUACCAAGUGCAGCUGCAAUUCUUGCUUCUUCACUAUUGGUUAGUUUAGUUGCUUCUUCUUUUUCUUUUCUUGUUUUGAUGCUGCCAUUUCUGUUGGUUAUAGCUGCUUGUUUCUAUCAGUGAAUGCUUAUUGGCAUUACAAGCUGAAGUUUGUUAGUAUUCAUGUUAUGCUGUAACUCCUUUUUCUGCAAGGGUACCAAGUGAUGGAAGUGUUGGUCUAAUGGAACUGAUGGUAACAUAGUUCUGUGAUUUGCUUGAUUUAUCAUUCCCCUUGCUGGUGUCAUCUUUGUUGUUGAUAGCUAUGUACAUGUUUAAUUUCUGCGACAAGGAUUCAACAUCUCCAACAUCUAGA